AAGUCGUAACAAGGUUUCCGUAGGUGAACCUGCGGAAGGAUCAUUACAUAAAAUUAGGUUGUGCGCAAGCACCAACUUGAGACAUCCCUGUGAACCGUAAGCAACACCUUUGGUGUGUGUAUUCAUUUGCACGCCAAACGGUAUCAACAACAACAAAAACACUUGUAAACAACAUAUCCAGACUUAUAUUUAAUAAUCUAAUUAUUAUACAACUUUUAACAAUGGAUCUCUUGGCUCUU
rnacentral:misc_RNA from 1 species